rnacentral:rRNA from 1 species
UACGGAGGAUCCGAGCGUUAUCCGGAUUUAUUGGGUUUAAAGGGUGCGCAGGCGGGAGAUUAAGUCGGCGGUGAAAUUUUGCAGCUCAACUGUAAAAGUGCCUUCGAAACUGGUUUCCUUGAGUGUAGAUGAAGUAGGCGGAAUUUGUGGUGUAGCGGUGAAAUGCUUAGAUAUCACAAGGAACUCCGAUUGCGCAGGCAGCUUACUAAACUACUACUGACGCUCAGGCACGAAGGCGUGGGGAUCAAACAGGAUUAGAUACCCCUGUAGUCCCU